ACUGCAGAGAGUGAACUCCUCUGGAAGGAGCAGGGCUGGGACCACGUGGUAACUGGAAGACCGAUGGCCUGAUAGUUAUGUGGAGGAAGGGGUUUCACUUGCUACGUGAUCUCAGGAAGGUUGAUUGUCCCCUCUAGGCUUUGCCCUGCACCUGGUCACCCAACGGCUUCUCAGCCCAGUCACCGCCUUGGAGCUUCACCUCCAGAGGGGGUCAGGCCAGGGAGCAUGCCUCCACCAGACAGCUAAUCACACCCAGGCUCUGGAGAGAAGACAGAGCAGCAAAACGGAAUUAAAAGAAAAUCUCCAGGAAAAGGAUUUGAA